GACUUCUAGCGGGUUUCUGGGGAGGACCUGGAUCCAGCCUACCUUGAAUAAGAGCUGUGAGGGAGAUGGCUAUGACUUUUCUGGUUCCACCUAUCGUGGGAAUUCACCCUGGCUCCAUGAAUGUGUGACUAAUUUCCUGGACAGGACAACAACUGAAGAGAUGAAGAGAAACACAAGUGCUGUUGUAAAUGCCUGCAGACUCAAAUCCUGCCAGAGGCUCCAGGUGCAACAGGAGAAGCCAGCAGAGGGAGGCACGCCCAUUUUUACUGAAAGGAUUGGAAAAGGGUACUGGAGUGAAACUGCAGUUGUCUACAAACAGAAGGAUUCUUCCACUUGCCAGCCACACGUCUCUGUCAAGAAAAAAAGAAGUUGGAGCUGCCAUUAUGAAAUUUUAUUCAAACAAACUUUUGCAAAGGAGAAGAGUGGAAGACCAAAGACAGUGUCUUGAAAGAAAAUAGUCUUUAUUUCGAGGAUUGGAAGAAGAGAAAAAGUUAAGGCUAAGAAGAGAGUUGCUCAGAGGAGUUUGGCCAUAUUAAGAGCAGAGCUGGAAGUUAUCCCAAUGUGUAGGAAGGACGAGAUGACAGCGAGAAACCAGCUCACCCAAUGAGAUGUUCAGUGACCUCAAACAAGAAACUGGUUUUGCAGGGCUGCUCUGUAAAUCAGAUCAACAAAAUGAUCUGUAUUAAUAAAGAACACAAGACCUGU